UGGAACACAGGAAAGAUUAUAUUAAUGCUUAUAGCUAUAUCAUGUCUGAUUAUGGAAGGAUGACAGACACAGAACGAGACCAGAUAGGCCAGGAUGCUCAGAUAUUCAUGAGGACCUGUUCUGAAGCAAUUCAACAACUAAGAACAGAAGCCCACAAGGAGAUACAUUCCCAGCAAGUGAAGGAGCACAGGACGUCUGUUUUGGAUUUCAUUGAAGAUUACUUAAAAAGAGUGUGUAAACUUUACUCAGAACAAAGAGCCAUCCAAGUUAAAAGAGUGGUGGAUAAGAAAAGACUAUCUAAGCUGGAACCAGAACCAAAUACAAAAACAAGAGAAUCCACAUCUGAGAAGGUGUCACAGAAUCCUUCAAAAGACUCUGAGGAAAAACCUACCACUGAAGAAUAUCCAGAAAAGAUUUCAGCCAAAGCACAACCUGAAUUGGGAACCUGGGGAGAGGGCAAAGGUGAAGAUGAAUUAUCCCCAGAAGAAAUACAAAUGUUUGAACAAGAAAAUCAGCAGCUAAUUGGCGAAAUGAACAGCUUGUUUGAUGAAGUGAGGCAAAUUGAAGGGAAAGUGGUUGAAAUUUCCAGGCUCCAAGAGAUAUUCAUGGAAAAGGUUUUGCAACAGGAAGCCGAGAUUGACAGCAUUCACCAGUUAGUUGUAGGGGCGACUGAGAACAUCAAGGAGGGCAAUGAAGACAUAAGAGAGGCCAUUAAAAACAAUGCUGGCUUCCGCGUGUGGAUCCUCUUCUUCCUUGUGAUGUGCUCCUUCUCCUUGCUCUACCUUGACUGGUAUGACAGCUAGCGUGG